rnacentral:misc_RNA from 1 species
UGUGGGAGCGGGCUUGCUCGCGAUGGCGCCACUUUGGUUUAUCCAAAAACCGAGGUGAUGCUAUCGCGAGCAAGCCCGCUCCCACA